rnacentral:piRNA from 1 species
UGAGGUUGCCUUGAUCACUUAUGCCGCCUC